rnacentral:rRNA from 1 species
GACGAACGCUGGCGGCGUGCUUAACACAUGCAAGUCGAACGGAAAGGCCCUGCUUUUGUGGGGUGCUCGAGUGGCGAACGGGUGAGUAACACGUGAGUAACCUGCCCUUGACUUUGGGAUAACUUCAGGAAACUGGGGCUAAUACCGGAUAGGAGCUCCUGCUGCAUGGUGGGGGUUGGAAAGUUUCGGCGGUUGGGGAUGGACGCGCGGCUUAUCAGCUGGUUGGUGGGGUAGUGGCUUACCAAGGCUUUGACGGGUAGCCGGCCGGAGAGGGUGACCGGCCAGAUUGGGACUGAGAGACGGCCCAGGCACCUACGGGAGGCAGCAGUGGGGAAAAGUGCACAAUGGGGGGAGGGCUGAGGCAGCAACGCCGCGGGAGGGAUGAGGGCCUUCGGGUUGAAAACCGCUUUCGGCUGAGACGAAGCGUGAGUGGCGGUAAGGGGAAAAGAAGCACCGGAAAACUAUG